ACUCAUAUAUAUAAGAUUACAAAUAAAUGCGCUGUAAAGAAUGUGCAUAUAAAAUGAAAAUCAUUUGCAGCUCGAGCUGCAGUUGAAGUUAGUCGGAAAACUUAAGUAGAAUGAAGAUUAAAGUCGCAUUAUUUUUAAUAAUCGCCUCGAUUGCACUGGCCAGCGGUUUUCGAAUGCCCGACUGUCCGCAUUGGAGUAAAUGUUGGAAGGAUUACAAAGCUGGACGAAUCAUUUACUAGAUGUAAAAUUUCGAAAAACUCUCUAUUUAUUUAUUGUAUAUUUAGUGCCUAGAAAUGUCAACAGGAUCGGAACUCUCUACAUAGAGUAAAUAAACAGUUUAUUAAUCGAAAUGGAAAUGAAUGCAGCCAAA